rnacentral:rRNA from 1 species
GAUGAACGCUGGCGGCGUGCCUAAUACAUGCAAGUCGAGCGAACGGACGAGGAGCUUGCUUCUCUGAUGUUAGCGGCGGACGGGUGAGUAACACGUGGAUAACCUACCUAUAAGACUGGGAUAACUUCGGGAAACCGGAGCUAAUACCGGAUAAUAUUUUGAACCGCAUGGUUCAAAAGUGAAAGACGGUCUUGCUGUCACUUAUAGAUGGAUCCGCGCUGCAUUAGCUAGUUGGUAAGGUAACGGCUUACCAAGGCAACGAUGCAUAGCCGACCUGAGAGGGUGAUCGGCCACACUGGAACUGAGACACGGUCCAGACUCCUACGGGAGGCAGCAGUAGGGAAUCUUCCGCAAUGGGCGAAAGCCUGACGGAGCAACGCCGCGUGAGUGAUGAAGGUCUUCGGAUCGUAAAACUCUGUUAUUAGGGAAGAACAAAUGUGUAAGUAACUAUGCACGUCUUGACGGUACCUAAUCAGAAAGCCACGGCUAACUACGUG